rnacentral:rRNA from 1 species
UGGGGAAUUUUGGACAAUGGGGGAAACCCUGAUCCAGCCAUCCCGCGUGUGCGAUGAAGGCCUUCGGGUUGUAAAGCACUUUUGGCAGGAAAGAAACGUCAUGGGUUAAUACCCCGUGAAACUGACGGUAACUGCAGAAUAAGCACCGGCUAACUACGUGCCAGCAGCCGCGGUAAUACGUAGGGUGCAAGCGUUAAUCGGAAUUACUGGGCGUAAAGCGUGCGCAGGCGGUUCGGAAAGAAAGAUGUGAAAUCCCAGAGCUCAACUUUGGAACUGCAUUUUUAACUACCGGGCUAGAGUGUGUCAGAGGGAGGUGGAAUUCCGCGUGUAGCAGUGAAAGGCGUAGAUAUGCGGAGGAACACCGAUGGCGAAGGCAGCCUCCUGGGAUAACACUGACGCUCAUGCACGAAAGCGUGGGGAGCAAACAGG